GUGUGGACACACUGGUGAUACUUCAAUGAACGUGAAGAACAUAAUCUCUUCCCACAGCGGUCACAAGAGUACGUAUGGAUAAGAUGGUGAUGGUGAAAACAAAUCCCACAUUGGUCAUAGGGGUACAGUUUAUCUCCACCAUGGUUAAGUCGUUGCCUUUUUCGAGUUGAUGAAUGCUGGAAAGUUCUCCCACAAGAAGAACAAACAUGUAGUUUCUCCCCACUGUGGAUGCGCUGGUGCCUUUUUAGGGAUGAUACAAGUUUAAAAGGUCUCCUGCAAUAGGCACAAGUGUAUGGUUUAUCUCUAGUGUGUAU